rnacentral:rRNA from 1 species
GAUGAACGCUAGCGAUAGGCUUAACACAUGCAAGUCGAGGGGCAGCAUGGUCUUAGCUUGCUAAGGCUGAUGGCGACCGGCGCACGGGUGCGUAACGCGUAUGCAACUUGCCUCACAGAGGGGGAUAACCCGUCGAAAGACGGACUAAUACCGCGUACACUCUAUGUUGGGCAUCCAAUGUAGAGGAAAUGAAAUUCGCUGUGAGAUAGGCAUGCGUCCCAUUAGCUAGUUGGUGAGGUAACGGCUCACCAAGGCGACGAUGGGUAGGGGAACUGAGAGGUUGAACCCCCACACUGGUACUGAGACACGGACCAGACUCCUACGGGAGGCAGCAGUGAGGAAUAUUGGUCAAUGGGCGAGAGCCUGAACCAGCCAAGUCGCGUGAAGGAUGACUGUCUUAUGGAUUGUAAACUUCUUUUAUACGGGAAUAACAAGAGUCACGUGUGGCUCCCUGCAUGUACCGUAUGAAUAAGCAUCGGCUAACUCCGUG